UUUUGGUUGCAGAGUAUGCAUACACUCUAAAAGUUUCGUUUUUUUACUUCGGUUUCUUAUUAUAUGUACCAGCUACGUAUCUAUUUGGUUAUAAAUUAUCCCUAGGUUUAUCUUUGUAUUUGGUUUGUUUUUAUAUGUACCAAAUCAUCCCUAGGUUUGUAUACUCAUACAUGCCAAAGUACAUGCUAAAGUAUAUUUAUAUAUGCAGAUGUGAGUGUGUGAAAAACCUGGUACCUGAUCAAAAAUUGUUAAAAAGGAUAUGUUCAGGGUAUGCUAAUUACAUGUAAAACUAUAUGAUUCCAUCGCAACAGCUUGGCUAGAUGGAGUUUUUGGUCAAAUGUCAAGGAGGGCAAGUUUUAACUUUUGAUGAAAUAGCACUGGACUACAACAUAGUAUCGUUAUUAAGUUUUACUCUUAUCUUUUUAAUUUUUUCUAUUGAUUUGUAGUCACAAUGGCUUCGGUACAACCCACCUAUUGAUAUUUUUAUGAUGUUUUUUCCUUUUGAAUUAUGUUUCAAGCCCAUUUUCAUUUUACUUUUAUAAAUUAGGUUAUUAAUC